rnacentral:sRNA from 1 species
ACCAGCGCUGGGUCCUAAGAGCUGCCAUCCAGGCUGGGUGAGUGUCCCCUUCCUUCUCUGUCCUGGGCAACCCUUGGCUUCUCCUUCUUUCCCUUCAGCCCUGUCUCCUCCCCCAUCUUGUGCCUCUGUCAGCAUCUUCACAUCAGGCCUCAGUGAGGACAGUGCUGACGGGGGCCGUGGCACUGGGGGCCCUGGUAACUGUAGGGGCCUUUUUUGCUAGCAAGUGAGAAAGUCCAGGGCCAGGUGGGGCUAGGUGUGGCUGGGGGACAGGAGAGCAGGAA